GGGAGAAAGGAAGCAAAACACACUGCCAUGUGUGUACCUAUGCAACUGUAUUGCAUGCUCUGCACAUGUACCCCAAAACCUAAAAUGCAAUAAAAAAAUGUUUUAAAGUACUAUAGAUACAAAUAAUGUGCAGAAAAGAGCCUUCAAUGGACGCUAACAUAGCUCAGAGUGCAGCAAAACAAAGCUUAUCAUUAAAGGAGACCACCAAAGGAAAGAGUCCAUUUCUGCAGGAAAUUUACUUUGCGCUAAUACAGAUGGAACUACUUAAAUGAAGUCAUAGCCUUGUGUGCAUGGAGCAGAGGCCAAGAAAAAGAAAUACAAACAAAUAUGUACGUCAUGAUACACAUAUGUAUGUAUAUGUGUGUACAUGUAUACAUACAUACAUGCACAUCUGCAUUUCUCCUCCAUUUUUCACCAGUGUAACAGAUUGCCUCUCCUGCUGUUGUUUGCAACCUUUUUACAGUUGGCAUGAGUCUUCUCCAUCCCUCAUCUUUACCCCGAAAAGCCAAGUAUCAUUCAUAGAAGAAUGUUUCCUAGUUUGAUGAUUAUGAUUAAGCAGAGGGCAUGUUGCACAUGGGUAGGAGCCUGCCUUCCCAAGUCAUACUGCUGAGACAUGACCUUCGAUUGGCAAAGACCUUUGGCAGCAGAGGACUGAGUCAUUUUUAUCUGCUGUGUUGCCAUGGGAUUCUGCUGCCCUGGAGAUUCUUCUGCUGGCACCUGCAGCACCAGCAAUGUGCAUCACUUGAACUGGGAACUCUCUCAGGGAAGAAGCAAAGUAGACCCACCUGGGAACUUUUCAAAAUCAGAAAGUGUCAUUUCUGCAAUGAUUGAGUUCUCUUUUUUCCAUAAGUGAGCUAACUAGCUUGAUCAUUUUUGCUUUUAACCUGAUGUCAUCAAGAGCUAUGUGUGUGUGUGUCUGUGUGUGUGUGUUUAAGUAUAACUGACUUCUGAUGUAUCAAUAUGACAAAUG